rnacentral:rRNA from 1 species
GUAGUACUAGGAUGGGUGACCUCCUAGGAAGUCCUCGUGUUGCACCCCU